rnacentral:lncRNA from 1 species
UCUCUCUCUCUCUCUAUUCUAGAGAGUUCCAAACGCUCCUCCUUCUCUCUAGUUUCUCUUUCUAUAUUUUCCAUGAUUUCUCGGCAUAAUAUCAAUGUUCACAUGGUAUUAGAGCCUAGAAGACGAUCCGACUGUGUUUAUCUGUAUCUCGUUGUGUUGGAUGAAGUCUGUUUCGAGAUUUUUGGGGGUGUUUCUCAGACCUUAUGGUCGAUGAUGAUUCCGACCUAAAUCGGAUGCUUUUCUGAGAUUUUCUUCGUGAUAUUUGAGUAUAUCUUCUCCACUCGAACGUUCUGGGAGGUUUCCCGAUGACUUUUGGGAUUUUUCGGUGACCUAUCGGCUUCUAGGGUUUCUGGUGGUUUAACCUAGAGUUUUACUGCUUUCCGGUGGCUCGAUUCUCACUCAGUGAAUGUUUUGGGUGCUUUUCUGGUUUGGCUGUACUCUGUUUGUUGAAAUUUUUUAAGCCGGUUCAUUGAUUAUGGCUUCUAAUACAAAUACUGGUACCUCAUCUCACUUCCAGUAAGGAUUUUGACGGUUGCACCUAGGGUUUUGUACCUAGGGUUCUCUCUGUUGUUUGAAGGCCGGUCUUCUCCGGUCGCGAAGAAGGAGGGUAACUCUGUCCUUAUCUUGAGUAUUCUAUGUUUUGUGUAUGAUUAUCUGACUCCGUAUGUGAGUAUUUGAUUUUAUGUGUGAAUAUCUGGUUUGGCUGUACUCUGUUUGUUGAAAUUUUUUUAAGCCGGUUCAUUGAUUAUGGCUUCUAAUACAAAUACUGGUACCUCCUCCUCUGUAGACUCUUCUAGCCCCCUUUUUGUAUAUUCCUCUGAUGUCCAUGGGGUCUCUCUUAUUUGGCUGUACUCUGUUUGUUAAAAAAUUUUAAGCCGGUUCAUUGAUUAUGGCUUCUAAUACAAAUACUGGUACAUCCUCCUCUGUAGACUCUUCUAGCCCCCUUUUUGUAUAUUCCUCUGAUGUCCCUGGGGUCUCUCUUGUUCCCACUCCCUUCUCGGGUAGUGGUUAUGGGGGCUGGAGAUGUAAAAUAAUUGUUGCUUUAUCAGCCAAAAACAAAAUUGGUUUUGUUGAUGGCACAUGUUCCCGACCUACCAUUAAUGUGGCUCAACAAAGGUUGUGGGAUAGGUGCAACAACAUGGUGAUUUCUUGGUUCACUGCUUCCCUCUUCUGUGUAUUGUGACAGCCAGGCAGCCAUUCACAUUGCCACGAAUCAUAUUUUUCAUGAACAGACUAAACACAUUGAAGUGGAUUGUCAUUUUGUGCGCGAUCUGCUCCAGAGUGGCCUUAUUCAACUGUUCCAUGUCCCUACCACUCGCCAGCUCGCUGACCUUCUGACCAAGCCUUUGCCCGGCACCAUACUUCAUCCAUUGUUGCUCAAGUUGCAGGUGGUGUCUCCCUUCAACUUGAGGGGGGGUGUUGAGAUAAGAGAAAACACAUGAUAGAGCCUUGUAUAGCCUUGUACAUUUUGUGUAUACUCAUUGUAUAUUUUCGGUAUAUCCAUG